GCACGGGGGAGCAGAUCUUUCUGUAAAAAGAAACCCACUAGCACGGCCUCUCCUCCUCGAUGCCUACACACACACGUACGGCACCGCCGCCGCCGUCGCCACCGCACGCGCGGCCGGUCUUCUUCCGCGGUCGUCUACCGCCCUGUCUCCUUCCCCUCUGCACCUGCCCCAAUCUUCUUCGGCGCCACUCUGAGCCUUCUCGGUCUUCAACCUCCUGCAAUCUUCAAGCCCGCGGCACCCAAUCCGAGCAACCAGCCGUCGAUUCGAGCGACCCCCGUUAGGAAUCCAUGGAAUUUGAGGUGGAUUUCCUGGAAGAGGGAGGAGGAAGGAUGAUGGUGGGGUUCAUGGGGAAGAGGAGUCCACCAUCCGCGACUCUCUCCCUCAGGGGAACAUCGCAGAUUUGACUAGGAGCUCUCAAGCACGAGAUCCCCUGGGCGUCUCAUCUGUCCUUGCAGGCAUGUGUUCUUCCUCCUCUUAUGAGAUCAUCAUGUGCAAAUAUGCUAGAGUUGUACUCCCUCUGUAAACUAAUUGUGAUCUAAAGAUCUUAUAUUAGUUUACAAACAUAGUACAUAAUAUCUUGCAAGGCUGACUAAUAAGUAGUUUCGCUUAAGAUGCUUCUAGAGACUAAUUGGAAUGGUGGAAUUCAAUCGGACUAUCAUAUGAGCAUAAUAGACUAUGAGCAUCAUUCAGAUUAUAAUGAAUGAGAAGUGAAGGUCUGAAUGUCAAACAAAAAAAUAUAGUGCUAAAUAUUCAGCCAAGGAAUAGCAAGAAGUAUAUAUCUUCUCAUGUAUAUUACGAAGAAAUUCUUCACAUGUUUUCCUUUUCCAUACUAGGUUCAAGGUGAUCAGGUACGGCUCAUGGGCUGCUACAACUAUUAGUGGGACAAAAGGUUGUGCAUGCACAUGCUUAUUGAUUCAAGGCAUAAUUAUGGGAGAUAGUGCAUGGUCCAGAUGAAUAGAUGGAACCCGUCCAUAGAAAAGAAAAAGAAGAAUAAGAAGGAAAUUGUUCUUCGUAAACAAGUACUCCCUCCGUCCCACUUAUUUUGGGACGGAGUACAUAUUACAUCAUAUGUAACCGGAGAAUGGCGGCAUGUCAAGAUCAGGCAAGAACUCUGAUGCCUGUGUGCACUUGCUGAAUAUAGAUGAUUGUGAUGGCCUUAUUCCUUGGAUGUGUAGGGAGCUUCAACCUUACAGUUGAUCAUCAUGACAUCCCCACCGAGGCGCCCCGCGUCUGGGCCCGUAAUCCUACACGGAUCUCCGCCGGGGCCAUGACAUCCCCACCCAGGUAUAGGAGCAUAUUGAUCUAAAAAAGGCACCGACCCAAUUGAACCUCUCCCCUGACCCUUUCUUCUCCAUCUUCCAAUCUCCUCUGUUAUCAAGUUCUAACAGUACAUCAAUCCAAGCAACUCUUUUCAGAUCAAUUAAGGAAUCAUUCUCACGAUGGUGGAUGCUUGAUGCAACAGAGGAUCACAUGUGUAUUGCUGGCAGUUUCAAUUUAGCCGUGCAGUUGCCAUCAUCGUCAGACUUCACUGGAGGAGCUGCAAUGGCUCUUUGUUCCAGCCAUAUCCGAUCCCCCGAGCCAGAGCUUUCAGGUCUCCUACAACGCACGUUGCUCACGUCGCGUCCCACCAGCUCCUGGUGAGUUGCUCACCUGAGUCAUAAUAGAGGGACUGAAAAUGUCAGAAGGGAGAAGAACAUCCAAACCAUUUUUUGUGUAUUGGAGUGAUUGAAUCAUGGCAAUCAAAGCUGACAUCGCGUCUCCUUCCUCGUACACACUUUUAGGGUAGUUGUGCAUCUAUAUUCCAUUCUGUACACCAAGAGAUGAUGUUGUUUUCCUUUUACAAAAUUGAACUAUGUGAGACGUUACUAUUUACUGAAGCAGUUACAGUUUAGUACAUCGUUAUCAUUCUCAACAACUUCAUAGUAAUCCAGUUCAGAUUGAGGCCAGACAACUAUUGCUUAACUGGGUUCAAGUUAGCUCAAUUGUUCCGACAUGCGAUAUUUUUUAACUCUCAUGUUUAUUCUUGGGACAUUUUACAGAAAUAUAAAUAGCAAGCAAUCAAUCAGGUUGAUCAGAGCCAGACAGUUCACUGCAGUAAGCAAUGCAAUGUAAGAGCAUAUGUUGUCAUUAAAAUUCCAUUCAAGAAGGAUUUCAUAUGUGUGUGUUAAUCGGUUUGGUGCAUUUAUCAAUAAAUGAUUUAUUGGCCAUCUAACAAUAAAUCGGUCGAGCUCCUCGAGGCAAAAACCUCAAAAUUUAUGGCAAAAUUCAUCCUUAUGCUGGAUUACAAGCACUUAUGUUGUGUACAUUUCCAUGGGCAGAAGGAUCAGUUGGUUGGUUAUGAGUUUUGUGCUUGGUAAUUUUUCAGAUCGUGGCAGAUUGUUAUCGCUAGCAAUGACUCACUGAUCUCUGAUGUGGCUCUCAAUAGUGAUGCAUUGCAAAAUGGACCGAUCCAUCAUCGUUAGUCUACUGCUGUUGGCUUCUUCUGAGCUACUAAUAUCAGGUUGUUUUGUUUCUGUUGAGCAGUUUAAGCUUCAAGGUUGCAACUGAAAUGUGAUCAAUAGUGGUUGUUCUCAACUUCUCAUUCAGUUCAUCCUGAUAAUGUGGCUAGAGAACUGUAUAUCAGUUUAUUAAGUUGGUUUCCUAUCCGUUAUGCAGUUUAUGUGUGAAUCCUGCAAGUCGUCAUGUUCAAUUGUGGUUGUCAUGUCGAAUUCGUAUUUGAUCAUACUGAGCGCAAACUGUAGGGUUAGCUGUGUUUGAUGUUGAAUCCCUGAUGAUUACAUUGUUGGAAAAUUAUUCCUGGUUUCCUUUCUGUUAGUCAGUUUUAAGUGUGAAUGGUACAAGUCAUAUUAUUUGAUUGUUCUUCUCUUAUCGAAUCUGUCCCGAGCAUAUUGUCCACAAACUAUAUUUCUAUUCAAUAUGUCAGUCUUAUUUCAGUGAUUGUUUUGUUAAUGUUCAAAUCAGCUACAUUAAACCUAAAAUCAUAUGGGAAUCAGUGCGAUUUACAAGGACUCUUUGGGGAGAUACUUUGCAACUGUGGAACAUCAAUAAAGCAUGUUAGUUACGUGGCGGAGAUGGGCUACUUAGUUGAUCUCAACCAUUUUGCAAUUCACUUUUAAUCUGAAAAACUGUACCUUAUACUGAUCAUGACUUCUUUAGGUUCUGAGGGCUUAGAUUAAAAAAAUCAAGACAAUUUUUUUGUAUUGCAGUGGGGUUGGCUGCUGUAUUGACGAUUUGGAGGUUUAUGAAUGAGGCCUGUUUUGAGAAUAAAAGCGGUGUCUGAUACUUUUGUUCUGAUUCAUGUGGUUUGUUAUUUGGUUAAACUCAUGGUCAAUUUUGCAGAUUAGUGCUGAUAUGGGGAGUAAAGCUCUUCGAGCAAGUGACAAAUCAUGUCUUUCGAGCAUCUCAAAGAUGGCGACAUGGAGUCGUUUGACUGUCAGCUUAAAAGCAAUUAAAGUGAAGAGAGGAAUCAAACUUUUAAAGCCACUCUUGCCAUUUGUGGACUGUUCCUGCUUGUUGGUGACUGCUUUUGCUAGUAUGUUCACUCUCAUCUAGCGAUGAAAUAUUUUGUUUCUGUUGCGCAGCUGCUGAAGGGCAAACCCUGGAUCCUAGAUAUCUGUGGGUUUUGGGUGCCCUCUGGGGUUACCUGAAUGUUCCUAUUUCUGUUAUCUUCUUCCCUUUUUAGUUUUCUUCAUGCUGUAGAUGAACUUUUGGUUUCUGUUAAUAGAAUUCAGAGAGGAGGCUCUCUUUUAUAAAAUCUAAUGAGGGGGAGACUGAUUGACCGAGUGUAGAUGACACUAACCAAGUUUAUUAGUAUGUGAUCCAACAUGUCAGCUCCAUUAAUUAGAUAAUUCCUGUGUGGUUAACUGUUUCCUCGCUCAGUCGAAUAACGAUGACAGAUCCGAGGGUAUCCUUUGUAGCUGAAGGAAAAGAGGUAUGCAAGGGUGUAUUCCAUAUACUGUUCUAUCUUUGUGUCAUUAUAACAUAUAUAUUCCCUCAGUGCUUAAAAUGUUCUCAUUGCCAGUAUGUUUACGACGAAGAUGGGUACUCUCACUGUAUUACAUAAUUGAUAUUCAGCAAGUGCUAUCCGGUGCUUAUCACACACGUACAUGAGUAGUCAAGUGUACCUUUACAUAGUAGCAAGUAUUUUUGGUAAUCACUACUGGUUUAGGUCGUGAAUCAAAUAACGGACCAGGAUUGAGCAGACAAUAUCAAAUUUGAUGAGAAAGCAAUCCACAUGAAGCAACAACCGAGGAGGCAUAUGUGCUGAUAGCAACGCGGCAUGGAGGAGCAACACAGGAGGCUAGAAGAAAAGGUUGGGGUAGAGCUUGCAUGGCAAACACGUUGACUCACAACAUGGCUGCUCAGGCGAUAUCGAGCCGGAGGUUGAUCAAAUAGAAGGGGGAUUUGCGAAAAUUCGUUUCUGAUCGAGGGAACAGCUGAGGCCGGAAUCUCAGCCGAUGGUCGUCCUCGGGAUGCACGUGUAUAUCUGUAUUCCUGAGCGUAUGUGUGUCUUGUUUUUUCAUGGUAUUCGGUGAUGGGCCUUGUGCUUUAAAGCGCAGCUCAACGACCACGCCGUAGUGGAACGGGAUAAACGUGGA